GAUGAGUCUGGAACGGACGCAUCAGCGACCUCCUUCAAAGGGGGCGCGGCCUUGCAGGCGCGCCAGUUCGAUUUCGGCGCGCACCC
rnacentral:tRNA from 1 species